UGAAGGAUGGUGAAAUUGGCAACACGCUACACUUUGACUGUAGUCACUGAAGGUUCAAAUCCUUCUCCUUCAA
rnacentral:tRNA from 2 species